AGAGAGAGAGAGAGAGAGAGAGUUAGUUUCACUCACAGGAACAUGGGCAACUAGCCAGUGACCACACCAGUGAAGAAAAAAAUGUCUCUGUCUCCUAGCAACCUGAACAAUGCCCCUUGUACCUAAUGAUUAACUGCAAAACUAGCUAUUCCAGGAAAGGGGCUAACACUGUGUCAUAAGACAUGCUAAUCUAAACUUCCUUUGGAUUUGUGGAGCCCAGACGGUCUAAUGACCUAUAAAUAACAGUAGAUGUCUGACCAGAAAAACAGCCCACCUGAAAUUUAUAACUACCAUGGGCCACACCUGGUGUACUGCUCCAGAGAUCUCUGCGUGAGCCUUGCCUCUGCAGCCCUAUGAGCUUUUCUCUUUCCUUCUUUUCUUUUUUGAAGUGGGGUCUCAUAUAGUUUAAGCUCUCCUCAAACUUUUUGUAACCAAGGAUAAUCUUGAACUCCGGACCUCUUGUCUCACCCAGGGCCAGAGACUGAAUGCAGGGUCUCCUGCUUUGCUAGGCAAGGGCGAUAGCAACUGAGCACCAUAACCUGCCUUUCUACUUUUGUUUUUGCUUUUUACUGAAGCGUCCAUCUUCCAGCUUUUUGAAGUGUCUUUGCAGGAUGGACAGCUGCUUCCUAAAUUUAUUUCAUCAGUUUCAGAAAAAGAAAAUAAAGACAUUGCAAUAAUUCAAUUUUGUUGCUGACCCUUUUCACAACUAAUGAACCCACGUUUUGUGAGCAGCGCUUACUAAAAAAGACUUGGAAAAUGGCAGGCACCUGGAAGGGGUUUCACUAACUUCAGCUAGGAAGUUCUCUCCUUCCCCAUCUGCUGGGACAGUGCUUAAUGUCCUCAUAGAGGGCACAUUUCACCCGUUGAUGAGUGGGCGGACCCUAAGCCCCUCACAAUGGUGAGGUCCAGCUUCCCAGGACUGUGCAGACCUCCCCACACAAGUCCCUCAGAGCUUCCCUUCAUCCCAAACUCCAACACUAUAAUGUCAGAAAUCAGAGACUCGAGGAUUGCUUACCACAAUGCAUUCGACAGCAAAGCAUUUUAGAAAAUAGAAAAGCAUGUGUAUUCAAAUUUAUUUUGCAUUGCCUUUGAAUAUUCAAAUGCCAGAAAAAUAUGAAAGAACAGUCAGUAAUACUGGGUGGUGACUUCAGGGUGAGCUGCUGAUAUUUUUUCCCUUUUAUCUUCAUUACUCAUUUAUUUUUGUUUUUCAAGACAGAAUUUUUCUUAUAAUAGUCCUGGUUGUCCUAAAACUAGCUCUGUAAACCAGGCUGGCCUAGAACUCACAGAGAUCCGCCUGUCUCUACCUCCUGAGUGCUGGGAUUGAAGAGAUGUGUCACCACCGCCUGGCUCCAUUUAUUCCUUUUAUAAUGAAAUCUUGGCAUAGCUUUUUUUACCCUUCAAGAAAAAUCAAAUUGGCAGCUAACAACUUUAAGGGGAGGAAGGCAGUCAUCUACAGCUGUAGUUUUGCUCCUGGGCUCGUCAGUGUCCACCACACCGCUGGCAUCAGGAAGGUUACAUUGCGAUUAUAAAGGACAGUGGACAUCUGGAGGUCCGGGAGAAAACUGCUGUCCUGUGACUCUAUAAUUGUCCCUUUCCUGGCAACCCUCACUCGGCGUAUUGCAGAAGAAACAUCAGGUCCACAGUUAAAGCUCCAGGAGGUGGAGGAAGUGAAGCUCAGAGAAGAGCAGCCCAGGCACAUGUGGAUCGACCUUGCCUGGCCCCUAAUUCUCAGCGUGCUGCCCACUAAAACCCUCCAACAGUAGAACUAACCACAAAGCGCUAACAGAAGGCCAACACACUCUCUCAGGGCACUCUUAGGUAGCCCCGUGAGCCUGUCGCAAUUCUGCAUCACUUGGAAGUUACGACAAAAUGUAAAAUCCAAUGCAGACCAUCCCAAAGAUCUGACAUCCUCCCCCGCGACAGCCCCCCCCCACGUCCCGUGGCUUCAACCAUCAGGUACAGCAGCCUUUAACUUUAAUCAGCUGGAAUGAAAGGUCACCAGGAAGUGAAGGGAAAAAUAUCUGCUCCACAUCUGCCUAAUGUUACAUCGCCCUAAAGCUAUCCACGCCCUAAUGCUAUCUGCAUGUUUCCGAGUGUUCUGUGACCUUAUGUUUGUGCCUGCUCUAUAGCCCUCAGAGUUUAUGAUAUGUGAAGACUGCACCCCAAACCAUGUUGGCCCACCCAUCCUCAGCAAGCCAAUUAGGAGUCAAAUUAAUAGUGGAAAGCAGAAAAAAGGGCAGAGAGACCCAGCAACACCCCCACCCUGUCCACCACCCACAAAUCUGUCCUCUGAAUAUGGAUUAAGGUUUAAAGUGAAGGCUGCUUGCCACCCCCCCCCCCCAUUCUGGAUGGUGGCCUGACUGUGUCCCUUCUAAGAGAUGGAUUCCUCUGGCUGAAAGCCUUUUCCUUUUCCCAGCAUGAGAUUCCUGGGGAAAGCAAGUGUCUAAUCUUUAGAGUAUCUUCAUUUCUACCAGAGCUGCCUCAAAGCCCUUGGGAAGCUUACUGGCAAUGUCACUACUCAGGAAACUAACUAGAGUAGGGUCUGGGAGUUUGUAAUUAGCAUCUUCUGGGCUGCAGCCUCUGUGUCAUAGGGCAUGUGGCUGCUUUGAUGACAAGUAUUUUAAAGGUAUUUCUUUCCCCAGGAAGGUGCAGUCCCUACCAACCCUGCCCUUCCCACCACCCCUUCGUGGAGCACAUGUGAAGUCAACUCACGUUCCACACCGGACCCUGGAUUGGGGUGGAGAUUCUCACCCCGGUGCCUUCUGGACCUUGUAACCUUUGCCUCUUGGUUUGUCCAUUCCCCUCUGUUACUAAUAAUUAUGCAUCCAUAUGCUGACCCACCUGCGUGUGUAAAAGUCAAGGAGACACCUGUUGUUCCCUGUCCACGGGGGCCGCCCUGCUCAGAGCUCUGCUUUGUUGGACAGUGACUUUGAAUGAACAGCAGGAAAAAGACUGACGAAGCCCACAGAGAAAAGAAAUGGAAACGAGGAGACUGAAAUGGGAAUCUAAGAGGACAAACCUUGAAAAGUGACAUGACCAAUACCUUCCUUCGGAAGUUUCCUUGCAAGGAAUGGUCUCUGCCAGGAAAUCUUGUCAUAUUUGGCUCACAAGCUGAACAUCUUAAUUUUGUCUAUUAGUCUUAGACUCAUUCUUAUAUCUACAUCCUAUUCUGCCUCCGAACACCCCACUCUUUAGAAGGAUAGUUCACUGGCUUAAUAAAAUUAUGUUAUAUGACACUGAUUAUGUUAAUAAAUCUUGUUAAUAUUGAUUAA